rnacentral:rRNA from 1 species
AAAAGCACUUUGAAGAGAGAGUUAAAGAGGACGUGAAACCGAUAAGAUGGAAACGGAUAGAGCUAGCGUAUCUAAUUUGUAUUCAUCUGCUCAACCGGUUGGAGUUGGCCCCAUCUGUCCCUAGCUAUGGGCAAUGUUGGGUUGACUGCCGUUUCGCAACCAAUUGGAUUGGGUGGUGCAUUUGCAAUGGAGUGCGCUGAGGCGUGCUGGUUAGCGGUUGGAAGCUAGUUUAGAGGAUGCUUAGCUCUUACGAGUUAGGUAAACCCUGGGCUGGUGAAAGACUGUUUAGCUGGCGCUGUUAAAUGGGUUUGAUGUAUUGGCGGUUGUGAUUAGGCGUCUAGUGGCGGUCGCUUGCGACACGUGCUUGUUCUGCUUGGUCAUUGCUGUUCGUACCCAGGCUCGUGGACCUCGGUGUAAAAGCUGGUCAUCUAUCCGACCCGUCUUGAAACACGGACCAAGGAGUUUAGCGUGUGCGCGAGUCAUUGGGUGUUUAAAACCCAAAGGCGUAAUGAAAGUAAAGGUUGCCUCUGGUUAACUGAUAUGUGAUCCGGUUCGGCCACGGCCUGCCGGCGCAGCAUAACCCCGCCUCAAUUGCUUGCAAUGGGGCGGAGGUAGAGCGUACGCGCUGAGACCCGAAAGAUGGUGAACUAUGCCUGAGCAGGAUGAAGCCAGAGGAAACUCUGGUGGAAGUCCGAAGCGGUUCUGACGUGCAAAUCGAUCGUCUGACUUGGGUAUAGGGGCGAAAGACUAAUCGAACCAUCUAGUAGCUGGU